rnacentral:lncRNA from 1 species
CAAAAGCAAUGGCACAGGUCUUCAGGCCACCCUGCCAAGGUUUCCCGAGUAUCUCCAGGAGAGCCACGAUACAUGAGCUCUUGCAAGUAAAGAAAAAACAUCUGUCUUCUAUUUCUCUUCCUCAUAUCAGAUGCUUUGACCACACUGAGAGCCCCUGGAGGCAGGUGUGUACGUUUCUGGAAGACCUGUUGAACAUCCUUUGUGGCGUCAAGGACCAACAAAAUAUGUUCUUGGGUGAUCAAUCAAGCUGA